ACUACGGGAGGCAGCAGUGAGGAAUAUUUGUCACUGGGCGCGAGCCUGAACCAGCCAAGUAGCGUGAAGGAUGACUGCCCUACGGGUUGUAAACUUCUUUUAUAAAGGAAUAAAGUGAGUCACGUGUGCCUUUUUGUAUGUACUUUAUGACUAAGGAUCGGCUAACUCCGUGCCAGCAGCCGCGGUAAUACGGAGGAUCCGAGCGUUAGCCGGAUUUAUUGGGUUUAAAGGGAGCGUCGAUGGGUUGUUACGUCAGUUGUGAAAGUUUGCGGCUCAACCGUAAAAUUGCAAUUGAUACUGGCAGUCUUGAGUACAGUUGAGGUAGGCGGAAUUCGUGGUGUAGCGGUGAAAUGCUUAGAUAGCACGAAGAACUCCGAUUGCGAAGGCAGCUUACUAAACUGCCACUGACAUUGAUGCUCGAAAGUGUGGGUAUCAAACAGGAUUAGAUACCCGAGUAGUC
rnacentral:rRNA from 1 species